rnacentral:rRNA from 1 species
GUUUGGGAGGCCAGCGGAAACAUGCAAGUCGAACGGCAGCACGAGAGAGCUUGCUCUCUUGGUGGCGAGUGGCGGACGGGUGAGUAAUAUAUCGGAACGUGCCCAGUAGCGGGGGAUAACUACUCGAAAGAGUGGCUAAUACCGCAUACGCCCUACGGGGGAAAGGGGGGGAUUCUUCGGAACCUCUCACUAUUGGAGCGGCCGAUAUCGGAUUAGCUAGUUGGUGGGGUAAAGGCUCACCAAGGCAACGAUCCGUAGCUGGUUUGAGAGGACGACCAGCCACACUGGGACUGAGACACGGCCCAGACUCCUACGGGAGGCAGCAGUGGGGAAUUUUGGACAAUGGGGGAAACCCUGAUCCAGCCAUCCCGCGUGUAUGAUGAAGGCCUUCGGGUUGUAAAGUACUUUUGGCAGAGAAGAAAAGGUAUCUCCUAAUACGAGAUACUGCUGACGGUAUCUGCAGAAUAAGCACCGGCUAACUACGUGCCAGCAGCCGCGGUAAUACGUAGGGUGCAAGCGUUAAUCGGAAUUACUGGGCGUAAAGCGUGUGUAGGCGGUUCGGAAAGAAAGAUGUGAAAUCCCAGGGCUCAACCUUGGAACUGCAUUUUUAACUGCCGAGCUAGAGUAUGUCAGAGGGGGGUAGAAUUCCACGUGUAGCAGUGAAAUGCGUAGAUAUGUGGAGGAAUACCGAUGGCGAAGGCAGCCCCCUGGGAUAAUACUGACGCUCAGACACGAAAGCGUGGGGAGCAAACAGGAUUAG